rnacentral:rRNA from 1 species
ACGCGUGAACGAUGAAGGUCUUCGGAUCGUAAAGUUCUGUUGUCAGGAAAGAACAAGUGCCUGCGAAUAGAGCGGCACCUUGACGGUACCUGACGAGGAAGCCCCGGCUAACUACGUGCCAGCAGCCGCGGUAAUACGUAGGGGGCAAGCGUUGUCCGGAAUUAUUGGGCGUAAAGCGCGCGCAGGCGGUUCCUUAAGUCUGAUGUGACAAGCCCACGGCUCAACCGUGCGAGGGUCAUUGGAAACUGGGGAACUUGAGUACAGAAGAGGAGAGUGGAAUUCCACGUGUAGCGGUGAAAUGCGUAGAUAUGUGGAGGAACACCAGUGGCGAACGCGACUCUCUGGUCUGUAACUGACGCUGAGGCGCGAACAGCGUGGGGACGCAAACAGGAUUAGAUACCCUGAUAGUCCACGCCGUAAACGAUGAGUGCUAGGUGUUAGGGGACUUCCACCCCUUAGUGCUGAAGUUAACGCAUUAAG